CAUCCCGUGGUUGUUCUUGGAAUG
rnacentral:piRNA from 1 species